CGCAGCCGCGGUAAUUCCAGCUCCAAUAGCGUAUAUUAAAGUUGUUGCAGUUAAAAAGCUCGUAGUUGAAUUUCGGGGUCAGUAGAUUGGUCGUGCCACUGGUAUGUACUGGUCUCACUGGCUCCUCCUUCCUGAUGAACCGUAAUGCCAUUAAUUUGGUGUUGCGGGGAGACUGGACUGUUACUUUGAAGAAAUUAGAGUGUUUAAAGCAGGCUAACGCUUGAAUACAUUAGCAUGGAAUAAUGAAAUAGGACGUUCGAUCUUAUUUUGUUGGUUUCUAAGAUUGACGUAAUGAUUAAUAGGGAUAGUUGGGGGCAUUAGUAUUCAAUUGUCAGAGGUGAAAUUCUUGGAUUUAUUGAAGACUAACUACUGCGAAAGCAUUUGCCAAGGAUGUUUUCAUUAAUCAAGAACGAAAGUUAGGGGAUCGAAGACGAUCAGAUACCGUCGUAGUCUUAACCAUA
rnacentral:misc_RNA from 1 species